UACGAGGGGGGCAAGCGUUGUUCGGAUUUAUUGGGCGUAAAGGGUGCGUAGGCGGUUUGGCAAGUCUUGUGUGAAAUCUUCGGGCUCAACCCGAAGCCUGCACAAGAGACUGCCGGGCUUGAGUAUGGGAGAGGUGAGUGGAAUUUCCGGUGUAGCGGUGAAAUGCGUAGAUAUCGGAAGGAACACCUGUGGCGAAAGCGGCUCACUGGACCAUAACUGACGCUGAUGCACGAAAGCUAGGGGAGCAAACAGG
rnacentral:rRNA from 1 species